CCUACGGGUGGCAGCAGUGGGGAAUAUUGGACAAUGGGCGAAAGCCUGAUCCAGCCAUGCCGCGUGUGUGAAGAAGGCCUUCGGGUUGUAAAGCACUUUCAGUGGGGAAGAAAGCCUUGGGGCUAAUACCCUCGAGGAAGGACAUCACCCACAGAAGAAGCACUGGCUAACUCCGUGCCAGCAGCCGCGGUAAUACGGAGGGUGCGAGCGUUAAUCGGAAUUACUGGGCGUAAAGCGCGCGUAGGCGGUCUGAUAAGCCGGUUGUGAAAGCCCCGGGCUCAACCUGGGAACGGCAUCCGGAACUGUCAGGCUAGAGUGCAGGAGAGGAAGGUAGAAUUCCCGGUGUAGCGGUGAAAUGCGUAGAGAUCGGGAGGAAUACCAGUGGCGAAGGCGGCCUUCUGGACUGACACUGACGCUGAGGUGCGAAAGCGUGGGUAGCAAACAGGAUUAGAUACCCCAGUAGUC
rnacentral:rRNA from 1 species